AGGGAAUAUUGCGGAAUGGACGGUAGUCUGACGCCGCGAUGCCGCGUGAGCGAUGAAGGUGUUCGGAUCGUGAAGCUCUGUCCCUGGGGGCGCCGGGCUUCGGACUUGACGGUACCGAAGAAGAAAGCCACGGCUAACUACGAGCCAGCAGCCGCGGUAAUACGUAGGGGGCGAGCGUUGUCCGGAAUUACUGGGCGUAAAGGGUGCGUAGGCGGCCCUUUAAGUCGGAUGUGAAAGCCCGCGGCUUAACCGCGGAAUGGCAUUCGAAACUGGAGGGCUUGAGUGUCGGAGAGGGUAGUGGAAUUCCCAGUGUAGCGGUGAAAUGCGUAGAUAUUGGGAGGAACACCAGUGGCGAAGGGGACUACCUGGACGAUAACUGACGCUGAGGCACGAAAGCUAGGGGAGCAAACA
rnacentral:rRNA from 1 species